ensembl:lncRNA
GGUUUCCUCCUGGGGACAGAGACGGCCAUGCAGAGCCUGGAGUUCCACCUUGCCCCUCUCCUCUGUCUCCUCUAUAGAGCUACUGUUUCCUUUGCUUAUCCUUGGAGGGUCUCGCUAUGUAGUUCAAGCUGGCCUUGAACUCACUAUGUAGCCCAGGCUGGCCUCAAACUCACAGGGAUCCUCCUGCCUCACCCUCCAGAGUGCUGGGGUUACAAGUGUGCCCCACCACACACCCAGUUAGCUCCAUUUUGCAGAUGAAGAAACUGAGGCUCUAGGAGCUAGAGUGGCUUGUCCAGGAUGGUUCCAGCAGGAAGCCCGCGAGUCUCAGCGGCACCCGCCUACCCCAGCAGCCACGCCCAGCCACCGCCACGGGCGCCUCGUUCCCAGGGACACAGCGCCAUCUGCUGGUGCUCCGUGGUGCGGCGCUCUCUGCGACACAGCAAAAGCAUUUGAAAACCAGGAAGGAAACUGGAAAUUUGAUGUUUUUCUGUUGAGUGCCAAAUGUGAGACUAUGCAAGAGCUUGAUCCACUUAACCUUUAAGAUAAUGCCAAAAACAAGCAUCGGCUAUUUAUUCAAUAAAGAGGCAUUGCGCGCCUAAUAAAAUAAAACAGACAUGGGUUCUGUCCACCUGGACCUUUCACUGUAGCCAAGGGUAGCUGUGCCAUUACACACACACACA